AUUGAACGCUGGCGGCAGGCCUAACACAUGCAAGUCGAGCGGAUGACGGGAGCUUGCUCCUUGAUUCAGCGGCGGACGGGUGAGUAAUGCCUAGGAAUCUGCCUGGUAGUGGGGGACAACGUUUCGAAAGGAACGCUAAUACCGCAUACGUCCUACGGGAGAAAGCAGGGGACCUUCGGGCCUUGCGCUAUCAGAUGAGCCUAGGUCGGAUUAGCUAGUAGGUGAGGUAAUGGCUCACCUAGGCGACGAUCCGUAACUGGUCUGAGAGGAUGAUCAGUAACACUGGAACUGAGACACGGUCCAGACUCCUACGGGAGGCAGCAGUGGGGAAUAUUGGACAAUGGGCGAAAGCCUGAUCCAGCCAUGCCGCGUGUGUGAAGAAGGUCUUCGGAUUGUAAAGCACUUUAAGUUGGGAGGAAGGGCAGUAAGCGAAUACCUUGCUGUUUUGACGUUACCGACAGAAUAAGCACCGGCUAACUCUGUGCCAGCAGCCGCCGUAAUAC
rnacentral:rRNA from 1 species